rnacentral:misc_RNA from 1 species
CGUCGAAGGUGGGGCUGAUGACUGGGGUGAAGUCGUAACAAGGUAUCCGUACCGGAAGGUGCGGAUGGAUCACCUCCUAACAGGGAGACAAACAACGAUUUUGAUGCCUGAGUAUUUUUAUUCUUAGGCCGAAAUCCUGUCACCUUAGGUCGAUCGGUACCUCAGCGUUGAAGUAACUGGAUCAGCAGCAAUGUUGAAUUUGAGUUAUGGAGAUGAUCAGUUCCUAAACUUUGUCUAGGUCACACCCCACAAGGGUUGAGUUUUUUUCCUGGGCCAUUAGCUCAGGUGGUUAGAGCGCACCCCUGAUAAGGGUGAGGUCCCUGGUUCAAGUCCAGGAUGGCCCAUUCGGUGUUGGGGGUUUAGCUCAGUUGGUAGAGCGCCUGCUUUGCAAGCAGGAUGUCAGGAGUUCGAGUCUCCUAACCUCCACUGACCGAACUCAAUCUCCAUUUUCCGUGUAACGGGAAAUGACUCGAAAUGCGAGGUGUGAUUUGGAUGAUGUCCGCUGGAUGACCCCAGCUUCCUGUCAUUCCAAGAAUGAGUGAGAACUCAUGAUUUGGUUGAUAAGAUGCUGGGCUCAAUUCAAGUUAUUGAGCAAUCAAUGAUUUGAUUUGGAGUCUGGCAGAACCUUGACAACUGCAUAGGUGAAGUCUGGAAAAAACA